GAAAGCGAAGCACCCCCUUGCACACUUCUACUCCUCAGCCGCGUUGUGUGCGUGAAGCAUCCUUGGUGCGUCGGAUAUCCUCAACCCGUGUAUUUGUCUGCUUCCCUGUAUCUGUGUAUACCUUCACACCCCUUCUUCAAUCGCCGGCAGAGGUCUGUGCAUCGUUUGAUCGACUUUUUUUGUUGUCGCCCUCUUUUUUCGUGCGCGCACGGUCAGUAAGGCGCGUGACGCGAAACGCUCCCCCUCAUUCUGCGGUUCACUCCGCCCACGCAUACCCUCAAGCGUCCUUACCAUUGAGAGUCUAGUGCACGACCACCUUAAGCCUGCUCGAUUCUUCGCCCCCUUCUUUUUUUUUACCUUUGCGGUGCCUUCUUUCCUGUGUGUAUCUGUGUGUGUGUGUGUGUGUGUGUGUGUGUGUGUGUGUGUGUGUGUGUGUGUGUGUGUGUGUGUUCUUCUCAGUGUUCCAUUGGGAAGAAGCCGCCUCCUCAUUGGCCCGCAGAAGCAGCGACGGGCGACAGCACAUAAGCCAAGCCAGGGACACGAGCGAAUCAAGGAAACACAUUAGGGGUUCAUACGACAGCAAGGGAGAGCGCCAUCUGCGUCAUCGAAUGUCGAACGCGGCAAGCUCAUCAGGUGAGUCGGCAGAGCCGGCGUACCCUCAUCAAACACCUGUAAUAUGCAUCAGAGCAAAUGGCCAGGCAAGUCACACAGCCAACAGUUUCAAGUCGGAGCAGAUGCCGCUCCCGAUGGUGACUCCGAGAUCAGAGGCCCCGUGUGUGGCGAGUCCGUCGCCAUCCGCGCACAGUAGCACGGUGAAUGCCCUCGCUGCUGCCACUGCCGGAUCCCAUAAUCCGCCGAGCACCCAUGGUGGAGCAGUGAACCAGAGUGCAUCCUGCGCUCGGCCUCUUAGCUCCACUCCUUCUGCGUUGGCGCCUGUGACACCUCCAACGGCAUUAUUGGAGGCGGAAGGCGCUCAUAGUCCUGCGACGGCACCCGCGACGCAAGCAGCUACGGCGCAGUCGCCGACAACUUGGGGCAAGAAUGCGUGUACGGCAGUGCCUGCCGCGCUGCAGCUCUAUCUCGAUCCCACAGCUGUGGCGACGGUACGCAACGACCUUUCCGCGGCCGCGGCUGCGCCGCGGAACGGCGCCUUGAACCUGGUUACCGACUACCUCAGCACCAGCUCGCCAUCUUCAGGCCUCAGUCCAGGAAACAACUCGUCUCCACAUCGCCUGCUGCCGACGGGGUUUUCGGUGCAUGUGGGUGAGGCUCCAACCGGUGCGGAGGAGAUCACUGGCGUCGCGGCGGGCAAACAGAGCGCCGUUAGUGAGCCGCUACUCAGUUCCGCUGCACGGCUGCAGACGCCCCCGCAUGAUAGCGACCCCCUCGCUCUCCAAGGCCCGUGCAGACCUGCUCAUGAGGUGGCGAGCGCGCAAGUGCGCCCCUCCUCGUCAGCACGCGACAACGAGCCGCAGAUACCCUCACAGGAAGACCCCACUUCUACGCUGUCGGCCACGGAACACGAGGCCAGCUACACCUCCGGCUUGGCAAGUCGCAUGCGGGCGGCGGAUACAGCCACUGCUGAAGGCGGAGAUGUCAUGGGCUCGUUUCGCGUCACCGCGGAGGCGGUCAAGGACUCGCCAGAAAUGCCCAGGCUCCACACGCGGAUGCACACUGAGCAGCAAGGGCCCGGCACAAGGGAGGGUCGCCUGAACGACGCAGUCAGCGGCGCGGUGCUCGGCAAAGAUGUCAUGAAUGCGAACCCUCGCACUAUCGACUUUUCCGUCAGUGGUGUCGGGGGUGGUGGCAACAACGGCAACACCGUGAACGGCGCCUCGAUGACACUCGACCGAAGCAUCAGCAGUCACUUCUCCGCCCCCAGGGGCCACGGCACGGGGCCCUCGACCUCCCCACCGCACCUCGCAGGCGACGAGGAUAAAUGCAAACUUGCCGCGGCCUGCUGUCGCAGUGGCUGGGCUGCUCCGCGGCAAAGCAGCAGCGCCUUCUUCAACUGCACCUCUUCCCCCGCAGGAGCUGCAGCCGAGCCCGUCAACACACCGACUCGAAUAACGACCAGCAGUACCGGCGCAGCGGCUGUCGAUAACCUGAGAGAGUCACCCUCGCGCCGGCAGCAUAACGAAAGCCUCGAGGGCACCUUUGAAGCCCUUUUCAGCACCUUGAGUACAACCCUCUCCACAGCCAACGCCACUCCCGGCGACGUCGGCCCUGUGUCGCUGCAAGAGGCACAGCGGGCCCCGGCGGGCCAGCAGAUGAAGCAACCGCUCCUGCAGGCACUGGGACUCAGCUUCUGCGACAGCAGCGGCGGCGGCGCUAUCACGAGUACGCAGAGCAAGCGACAGGCCGCCGAAAGUGACGCGGCCACCACUCUCUCCAUAGCGUCAAGUGGCGCUGCAGCAACCAUGUCCUCCGGCGUCGCUCGGCCUCAUUCGCCCAUGCUAGACCUCAACAACAGUAUGGGUGCUCGACCCCCGCCGGCAUCAACCGCCGCUCGCGAUACCUGUGAAGCGGGAGGCAAAGGGAAUAGUGGCGAGGGACUUGAGCAGACUACCGGCACCGGAACCGAAGACAGGUUGCAGAUGCAGUUCAGCGGGGACUGCAGUGCGCCGGACCCGUGCAAAUCCGCGAUUCUGACGCCGUUCCCGCUUCAGCUCAUCGACGCAACGAAUCACAACGCCUUGGAGAACCUCACCGGUCCUCCCGACGGAGACAGAGCUGCCGGCGGCGUGGGGUCGCCGACCGCUCGUCUCAACCCCGUCGCGGGCGACCACGCCAACUUUCGCAGCAGCAGCAGUGGUCUCUUGCCGUUGCUCGAAAAGUCAAGCGUGGAAAAAGGCGAGAAGGACUUCAGGCGAGCGAGUGCGGCAGCGACGGGGCACGACGCUGGGGUCGAUGCCUCGAGGGGCGCCGGCCUUGUCAACAGCCGGCGCGUCGGCAGUCUCGCUGCACGGAGUGAUGUGCAGCCCUCUCCUGCUGCUGGGGUGCUGAAGGACAAAACUUUCACGGCGCACCGCCUCUCCGGCACCUCCGCUCCCGGCACCCUGGCCGUGCCGCCGUCGUUCAACACCGCUCCAGAGCAAGACUCGGGAUUUCGCUCCUUCCCCCACCCACAGUCGCCGGGCUACAGCGCGACUGGCUCAAACGACGAAAAUGGGAAGUCUGUGCACGGUGCCGCUGCAGCAACGCAUACACCCGGCGCUCAUGCGACAGUCACUGCCGUGCGACCUCAGCCAAUACGGAGCAUGAAGUACGGCGAGGCUCACGAUCCGCUAAUGGAGGCGUACUCCAUAGACUCCCUUCUUCGCAAGGAAACCUCCGGCAGCACGGCCGCCGCCGGCGCUGGCGGUGGUGCCGGUAGUAGAAACGGCAGCGGAAGCGGCGUCUUUUGCUCCUCGUUGCCGCUUUCCGCGCAGCGGCAGACAUACGGGGACGCGGUGACUUUGGCACCCGCCGCCAACUCCGCCACCCGUCCGCCCCUCAGCGAGUCUGAUGUGCACAAAAAAGGCGACGCUCGUGCCGGGCUUGCCCGGCGCCCUGACACCGUCACCGCAAACGGCAAUUUGUCAGGCUCCACCUCAUCUCGCACGUUUUCCGAUGGGUUGCUGGCGAACCCCACCGUGACGACCGUGGCGAAUGGUAGCUGGUCGAUUCUCGGCGGCGCAGAGCAGCAGCCGCAGCGGCCCUGUCCGGCCGUGAUGGACGGAGCGGUGGCCGAGGACGACGACAUGUGGGGCGAGCCGAUAUCAUCUGCGCCGGCACCCGCAGCGCCGUCACCAGUCGAGGCGACUGUGAGGGCACCAGCGCGCCACGUCACCUUCGCCUCCCCGGCCACGACGCACUUUGUGGAGUCGCUUCCGUCGCCGUGGGUAGACAGCGACUACUUCUUCUCGCCCGACUAUGCUCACAUGGAAUACAAAGACGGCGAGGAGGGAGGCCCGUCAGAUCAGCAGCAGCAGCAGCAGCAGGUCGCCGAUGUGCCCAUAGUGGAUGAAGAGGAGGCGGAGGUGCUGCGAAGCGUUCUUCGCUUCCGCUUUCGGCACAGAAACGCACGCGCGCAGGCGUCAUCGCCGCUGUCUGGCGUCGCGGUGCAUCUGCGAGCCCCUGUUUGGGAGGCCUGGUCACGUGGAAGCGACAGCAUGCGGAGCAAGACGAGUGGGGUGAGCACUGGCGAGGACGCGCGUACGGAGUCGUGCGCGACGCACGCUCGGCAGCAGGUGGAAGCCGUCGUGCCAAUGCCCUCCCAUGGGAGUGGAGAGGAAGGGGAGGCACACCACGCCGCCGCGGAAAGGGCGCAACGCGUCUUCUUCACAAAGGAGCGGUUGGCGUCUCGUGCAGCGCUGAUGCAGUCUCGGCGUGCUGGUGUGCAAGCUGCAGGCAGCACCAACGACGCCAAUGCGGUGGCUAUCGGCGACAGCGGCCCCGCGCUCCGCAUCCACCUCAAUCCCCCCUCGGCUGCUGCCGCCAACACCAUUUCGCUCGCUCUGCCUGAUUUCGCUGCACCGGUCACGUCUACCUCAGGUGCAACUUGGCACAACAGCAAGGUGGCUCAGACGCGAUCCCCGCCCACGUCUGAUGGCAACAAAGACGCUGCCAGGGGUGCCGACGACGACGACGGCUUUGGUAGGUCGGUCCAGCAGCAGAAGCACGCGGCCCCGGCUCGGCCAUCGGCAGAAACGGCGGCAUCACCAAUCGCCUCCCAGCCACUGACGAGGGAGUCGUGCGCACAGCUUCUUGCUUCCCUUGAGAGAGGAAGUGCUCCUGUGACGCAAUCGACCGCGUCAUUUGCAAUUGAUACGGAGCGCGUCUUGGAUGUUCUACGCGACAUCUUCGGUGACACAGCUGCUGUGUCCGAUUCGCUGCACGGCGAACCUCUUUCACCAGCUGCGCCACCGGUGCCGAUCUCGGCGGAUGGCGCGUCGCCAGUCGAUCUCUUGGUCUCUGGCGAGUCGCUAUCCAGCGUGGAGCGCGUCUUGGAGGCGUUGUCUUUCACUUCCCUCACGAGCCGCGCGUCCGGGGCCACUCUGGCCAGCAGCUGUGCAAUGGAAGCAUCGGUGUCCUUCGGCCCGUACUCGGGCGGACAGUCCUUUUCUGCCAGCGCUGGUAUCGCCACUGCGGUGCUAAAUGACGGAUACGUUGUACCAUGGCGCACGCACGCGGCGGCAGCUGGUGUCGCACAUCUAACUGGAGCGUCUGCAUCGACAGACGGCAAGGGUCCGGUGCAGGCGGUGGACAGCACCGCCGCAGGUGCAUCGGCGGAGAUGGCGGCACCGCAGGAAGGCAAUUUCAAAGACGGCGCGGAUGCGAGUGUGCAUCUGACACGACAACGGCUCUUCCCCUUGAUCGCGCACGACGCGAACCCUCGCCGUGGAGGCACCGCAGCGUUGUCCGUGGCGUCGUUUCUGGGAACUCGACGGCUCCCAGGCGCUCCCACCGCAGUGCAGUGGACCGAGAGGGACGUCCUCGUGGCGGUCCUGCAGGAACAACGCCGUAUGGCACUAGAGUAUGGCGGUGUCCCGGAGACGGAGCGUCUGGAAGAUGUGCUGAGAGCAGCGUGCUCGUGAUGCACGCAGCGCGUCGUCGUUGCGCUGUCGGUUGUCGUUUUCGUGAGCGCGCAUCUGCUUUCCUUGAAUGACUUCCACAAGUAAGGCAAGGCAAU
rnacentral:misc_RNA from 1 species